UUCAUUUUGUUAAGGCCUAACAUUUAGUGGUUUCGGUCGAAUUGGUGACUUGGAAUUAGUAUAACCUUGAUAAUUAGUUCAUUCUAAAUGUCAUUUUUAGGUGCCAGGAUUACUGCUAUUAUGUCGGCAUCAAAAAGCGACUAGGUGUAUGUGACUUGAAUUCGUAAAAAUAGUGAAUGACGCGAAGUCGAAAAACCCACUAUCGACGCCACACGGUUGUAUGUCAGGCCGUCUGGGCCC
rnacentral:lncRNA from 1 species